rnacentral:rRNA from 1 species
AUGUUGUUUGCUCAGUCUGGUCAUGUUUCUACUGUCAAGUAUUUUCUUGAUCAUGGUGGUGAUCUCGUGAAAGGAGAUAACAAAGGACAGACAGUUCUCCACCAUGCUAUGUGUAUAGGAUGCUGCAAUGUGACAGAGUUCCUCCUGUCAAAAGGACUGCCUGUUGACAUAGACCGUGGCCAUGGAACACCACUCUACAUGGCUGCUUUAAAUGAGCAGGAUAAGACAGUGAAGAUUUUGUUGGACUACCACGCAAAUCCUAACAUCAUUAUCAACGGUGCUAACAGUCUCCUUAUGAGUGCUCUUGUUUACCGUUCAUUGAAGUGCAUGAAGCUACUCAUUAAGGCUGGUGCCGAUGUUGAUUGCAAGGGUUCCAUUGCGACUCCUUUAGUGCUCGCUACGAUGCUAGGAGGUUAUACCAACUACAUUAAGCUCUUAUUGAAGGCUGGAGUAGAUCCUAAUAUUCCCGAUGAUUUGGGUAGGUUGCCAGUAGAGCUUGCUGCGAUAUGUGAUUACAUGGAAGAGGUUGAAAUGUUGUUUCCUGUGACUUCUCCAAUUCCAAAUGUCCCAAACUGGAGUAUUGAAGGAGUAAUUUCUCAUGCAAAGAUUGAAGAAAAGAAGUCAAUUGAGCAACGACACCUUGAAAGAAGAAAAAGUUUGUUCAAGUCACAUGCUGAUAAGGCAUUCAAGCAGAAGGACUAUAAGAUGGCAACAAAGUGGUCAAAAGUGGCAAUAGAGCAUACAGAGAGUGUAACACUGUAUGCAAACAGGAGUCUUUGCAAACUGCUCAUGGAUGAUGGUGAAGGUGCUUUGUCAGAUGCUCUCAUGUGCAGAAUGCUGCGACCUGAUUGGGCAAAAGCUUGCUACCGUCAAGGUGCAGCUCACAUGCUACUCAAGGAGUAUAAACAAGCCUGUGAUGCUCUCUUGGACGCACAAAAUUUGGAUCCUGGGAAUGCCAAAAUUGAGGGUGAACUACGAUAA